GGGGGGGGGGGGGGGGGGGCGGGGGGGGGGGGGGGCGGGCGGGAGGGCGGGGGUGGGGGGGCGCGGGUGGCGAGCGGGGGGGUAACACGGGGGGAAGCUGCCCUGGAGGUCGGGGGAACUUCCGGAAACUGGGGCUAAUACCGGAGAGGAAUGCGUGCUGCAUGGUGGGGGUGUGAAAGCUGCGGCGGGUUUUGAUGGACGCGCGGCGUGUCAGCUGGUUGGUGGGGGAGUGGAUUACCAAGGCGUUGACGGGUCGCCGGACGGAGAGGGCGACCGGCCACAUUGGGACUGAGAUACGGACCAGAGUCCUACGGGAGGAAGCAGUGGGGAAUAUUGCACAAUGGGCGGAAGCCUGAUGCAGCAACGCAGCGUGCGGAAUGACGGCCUUCGGGUUGUAAACCGCUUUCAGCAGGGGCGAAGCUUGUGGUGACGGUACCUGCAGAAGAAGCACCGGCUAACUACGUG
rnacentral:rRNA from 1 species